AUGGAGAAUUCUCGCUAUCUCCUCCUCCUGCUCAUUGGACUGCUCGUCGCACCCAGCGCGGUAGGAGAGCCAUGUGACUCGUGGCACUGGGCGUACCUAACGAGCGUGUUCUGUAUAUCCAAGGAGCAUGACAGCAUACUUGCUUGCUGUGAAGUGGUGCAGACCAUCGUGAACAUAUCGCUGACAGAGGACCCUUUGUGCAUGUGUAGCCUGACUGCAGAGCCACCUUUUAUCAGCACUGGACUAUUUAUCGAUGAACUCGUCGACAAGUACAUAGCUUGUGGAGGUAACCGUGAUAAAGACGCCCAGGCCCUCUCCGACGAAUGCGAAGGGCAACCACUGUCGCUAUCUGAGCUCCAGGAUGGAUCUACCUCUACCAAUCAACACAAAGUGUCGCUCGCACCGGCUCCUCUCCCAUAA
rnacentral:rRNA from 1 species